GAACGUAUGGCUUAGUGGUUAGAGUGCUUGGAUGGUUUCCAAGAGAAUCGAGUUCAAGUGUCAUUACGUUUA
rnacentral:tRNA from 1 species